UAUAGGAUCAAGCGAAUAAGUGCAUGUGGUGGAUGCCUUGGCGAUUACAGGCGAUGAAGGACGUUGCAGCCUGCGAAAAGCCUCGGGGAGCUGGCAAGCGAGCUUUGAUCCGAGGAUGUCCGAAUGGGGAAACCCACCCGCAAGGGUAUCCCUGACUGAAUACAUAGGUCAGGGAGGCGAACCCGGCGAACUGAAACAUCUAAGUAGCCGGAGGAACAGAAAUCAACCGAGAUUCCCAAAGUAGUGGCGAGCGAAAUGGGACCAGCCGUCAUGUUAUAGCCAUCUCGUUAACGGAACAGUCUGGAAAGGCUGGCCAUAGUGGGUGAUAGCCCCGUACGUGAAAACCAGGUGGUGGAACUAGGCAUG
rnacentral:rRNA from 1 species